CUACGGGGGGCUGCAGUGAGGAAUAUUGCACAAUGGAGGAAACUCUGAUGCAGCAACGCCGCGUGGAGGAUGACGCAUUUCGGUGUGUAAACUCCUUUUAAGAGGGAAGAUUAUGACGGUACCUCUUGAAUAAGCACCGGCUAACUCCGUGCCAGCAGCCGCGGUAAUACGGAGGGUGCAAGCGUUACUCGGAAUCACUGGGCGUAAAGGGUGCGUAGGCUGGCUUUUAAGUCAGAUGUGAAAUCCUAUGGCUUAACCAUAGAACUGCAUUUGAAACUGAAAGCCUAGAGUUCAGAAGGGGCAGAUGGAAUUAGUGGUGUAGGGGUAAAAUCCGUAGAUAUCACUAGGAAUAUCAAAAGCGAAGGCGAUCUGCUGGGAUGAUACUGACGCUGAGGCACGAAAGCGUGGGGAGCAAACAGGAUUAGAUACCCGUGUAGUC
rnacentral:rRNA from 1 species